AUUGAACGCUGGCGGCAGGCCUAACACAUGCAAGUCGAGCGGAUGAAGGGAGCUUGCUCCUGGAUUCAGCGGCGGACGGGUGAGUAAUGCCUAGGAAUCUGCCUGGUAGUGGGGGAUAACGUCCGGAAACGGGCGCUAAUACCGCAUACGUCCUGAGGGAGAAAGUGAGGGAUCUUCGGACCUCACGCUAUCAGAUGAGCCUAGGUCGGAUUAGCUAGCUGGUGGGGUAAAGGCCUACCAAGGCGACGAUCCGUAACUGGUCUGAGAGGAUGAUCAGUCACACUGGAACUGAGACACGGUCCAGACUCCUACGGGAGGCAGCAGUGGGGAAUAUUGGACAAUGGGCGAAAGCCUGAUCCAGCCAUGCCGCGUGUGUGAAGAAGGUCUUCGGAUUGUAAAGCACUUUAAGUUGGGAGGAAGGGCAGUAAGUUAAUACCUUGCUGUUUUGACGUUACCAACAGAAUAAGCACCGGCUAACUUCGUG
rnacentral:rRNA from 1 species